CCACCCCCAGGCCCCAAGAGCAUCUCCUCUCGCUCAGCCUCCUCCCCACCCCCUGGGCGACGGGGGAGCUGGGCCUUGUCCAGCGGGUCCCCCACCGCCAGUCUGCGCUCCCCGCAGGCGGCCUGGCUCUGGGCGUCCAGCCCCGCUCCCCAGCCACCGCCUGCGUACCCGGUUCCUGGGGAACAGCACGCGCCGAGGCAAACCCAGGUGCUUCCGCUGUUGCAGUUGCAGCGCCCAGCUGAUGCCAAGAAAAGGAGGUUGUGCUCAGCGGCUUGGUGCCGUGGCUGCUUCGCCUUCCCUGCCCCCACCCAAGACUGGGGGGGAGGGGCUGGUUAGCACUAGAGUCCAGCCUUAAAUUGGAGUUUCGAGCGUCUGCGUUUGGCCUAACAAAGCUCUUGCUGUAGGACUGGUGUUCCUCACGCCUGCCCUGCAGUAUUCUGCGCUGGCUCUAGUCCAGUUUCGCUCCCAGCUCGAGGCCCUGUGGUCAUUUCCCCUUCUAGCUCCAUCUCAUAGAGUUAUGGACUGUGGCAGCCAUGGACUUGCAUACAUCACGCAAGACAAAUCUUUUCCUCGCCCCCUGAAUUGCAGCAUGCAGUUGGAAGGCAUCAGCAAAAGGGACAAAAUCUGCUGCUGUAGGAUUUCCAAGCAGUUGCACCAGAGUGCCCGCAGAGUCCAGCCCCUUGGCACAAAUUCAGGUGAAGCUUGCUGAAGAGUAGAAGGGGCAUUGUUUAAAGAUACGUCGAGGGCUGUACUGUGGCUUUUAACUACAGCCCUCUGUUGAGGGCAGGGAGAAGCUGCACAAACUCAGCAGGCUUGACCAGUGACCCUUGGCCUGAUCCUAUGGAGAUUAUGAGGCAAGAUUAAUUUAUAUAUCAGUGACAAUAAUACUGUUAGCAGCAGUUAUAAGUGAUUUACAAAUAGUUGAAAUACACAUAGUGAAACAUAUAAAAUAGUAAAUAUUAUCAAGAUAAGAUGUAGGGUUGACAGUUUUGGUUAGACAUAUUCCUGGAGGUUUCAUCACGACAUACUUUUUAAUCAAUCUUUAAUUCCUGGAGACUUCAGGACAAUUCUGGAGAGUUGGCAACCCUAAUAAGGUUGGCAAAAGGUUGAGGCCUGAGGCUUAGUAAUUAUUGGAUUUAACACAAGUGCUUCACCUAAGGUCAUAAGAUUUAGCAACAUGUAGCUUGUGACAACUAAAUUGCAAAUGAGCAAAAAUAAAUUUAAAGUAGUAGCUUUUGGGGGGGAUUUUUGUGUACAUAUAUCUAUGGAGCUAACCACAUUGACAUAGUGAAAGCAUUGAAAAGGGGUUGACGCAGAUAACUUAGGCCAGCUUUGGACGUUUAUGGUGCUCCAGAAUACCAAACAAGGUCAGUAGGAAUACCACUUAUGGGCAAGGGGCUGAAACUCAUCAAAGAGGGUCCCAGACGUGUGUGGGAGAAAAGUUGUGUAAAGACAGUGUUUGCCUAACCUUAGUUAGACACAACAGGAUUGACUAGGUUGGUGUAAACUGGAAUGUCGCCUCUCACUUAUGGUGUACUCCACUGACUACCUUCUUCUAUCUGUGCUUUCCACAGUCUCCAGGAGCUUGUGAGUAUGACAGCACUAGGGACUUUUUUGUCUGUAUGUAUCUGGUUUUGGUUCAGUUGCAUUAAUGCUCGUAUUUAUUUGGAUUUUAAAUAAAGUUUUCAUGUCUAUGUGAUUAUACUUAUGUCAUUCACCAAACUUGUUUAUUAUAGUUUAUGUAGCUGCUGAGUGGGUGGGUGAGAUUCUGUGGCCUGCGUUGUGCCGGAGGUCAGACUAGACGAUCAUAAUGAUCCCUUCUGACCUUAAAAUCUAUGAUUCUAUGAAAAACUUGUUAUCUAUGACAGGUGGAUUUGCACCCUGAAUUAAUUCUAAGGCUACAGCAGGCUUACUGGAAGGCUUUGUGCCUCAGAGAGCCUUCCAGUUUGCAGGAAGAGCACUACCAUGGUGUACCCCCGGCUUCCUCCUCCCCCCCCCCCCGCCUGUUUUGGGGUGGCUUGUGUCUGAAAGUGUGCUGGCAAGAAGCAGUCCAGAAAACAAAGGGUCUGAACUGGUUAGGGUUGCCAGCCAUCCAAGAAUGAAAGAUCAAUUUUUAAUUAAAGAUUAUGUCACGUGAUGAAACCUCCAGGAAUACAUCCAACCAAAACUGGCAGCCCUAAACUGUGGCAGGCCCUUUCGUGGGGAUAGAGAGGGUGCAGUUUCUAAAAAGAUCCCUUGAACUUUUCCUCUGUGUGCACUUUUGUAAGGAUUGCUUACUGUAAUUAAAGUUUCCAUUAUUUGCGCUUUUAUCAGUGCUUCAGUUGUUUGUAUAAGUAUCUCUGAAAGCAUACAACACAUUAUAUGACAGGAAUACCUCAUUUAUGCAUAUAGAUCUAUAUCUUUUUUUAAUUGUGUGCGUAUUAUAAAACAUUAAACAUAUAUCAAUAAAACUCUAUUUGCUCACUUACUAAAUUAUUAUUUAUAAAUGCAAAGAGUUUGUUUAUAAAUCUGUGUGCUUUUUUGAGCUGGUUUGCAAACCCAUUGCCUUCUCUUUUAAAUCCUUCCUGAAGACCCACUUUCAUAAAGCAUACAACAGAUUUGUUGAUUAGGUCUUCUACUUAUUCAGACUAUUUAUUUUAUCAUCUUAAAAAAAUUCUCUGCUCCAUCCUGCCGUGCACUAGCCUUCACUGAACAACCAUGUAAUCUUACUGAUGUGAAUGCUGUCCUUUCUCCAUUGUGCAUUGUGACAAUUUUUGUUGUGUUGUGUCUGAAAUUAGUUUUUAAGAUCUGCACUGCAGUGGUCCUGUCUUAUUUUUUUCUGUACUGAGUAGUACUUUGUAUAUUUUUGGGCCCUAUCAAUCAGGAUCCUGUACCUUAGCAAGAUAGUUCUGACAUAGAUGAUCUAAUACUUUAUCUUUACAAUUGUUUCUA